CAGAAAAAAAAAACAUGAAUGAUAUUGUUUAUUGUGAACGUCCCAAAAUCAAACGACCAAACAGUAAACGACAUGCCUGUCUUGGGCAAAGUACUCAAAUUGCCAGCAGUAUUGUGCAAUGCUUUCGUUCCUGCACAACUUGUUAUCAGAGAAACCAGUGACAAUAAGGUUUUAAAUUCUGCAGACAAAUACAUACAUUUAUAUAACGAAAGUAAGCUUCCAUGGACAUGCACUGACUUCCAUGCACCUUUUAUCAUAGCAGCAAAUGUACUGCUUUGCAAGCAGUGCGUGUUAAUGAUAUAAACUAGCUGAAAGUGAUGUGGGAAUGCUGCAUCAAACUAUCUAGACUAAGUGAGUUUCUCCUAAUCGUAGCAUGAAUGUAAACACGUAGCUUCGUUGUUAAAAGUAGUUCUAGUGUGCAGUUCAUUACUACUAGCUGUAAGUUGCGUAAUGCUGUAUCAAUUUUACAUUAAACUAAAUAAUCUCUAGACUUCAGAUAUUUUUUGUGUAUGUGCAGUUUCCUCAUCGAAGGUAUUAGUAAUACAAGCAGUUGCGUCCAUGACAAAAAUUCAUUACAAAAAUCGGCAGUUUCAUAACACACCAAGGCUGCGUUAUUAUUAUUACCAUUAUUUUGCCCGUUUAAUUAGUGUUGCUUCUCUGUACGUUUCUUCGGGCACAUCGCCUAGCUGGAUUUCGCGAUUACGUCGUUUGGCAAGGCGUCUGAACGCGAGCGACGUCGCAUGUUACAUAUCGAUUUUUAACUUGUGUAAUAUAUAAGUGCGGGUACCAGCGGUGUAGUAGCCUAGAAAUAUUAAAUAGUCAUUCAUUUACCAACGGGCGACCUCGAUACUAACGCAUCGUACUCACGCGCUCACUACAUUCAGAUUGUGGAUCUGCAAGUCAUCAAGGAGAUCAUUUUACCCCUACGAAAGUGCUAUGCGCAGACAUCAACAAAAAACGAGCUCCGCUAUGUGUCAGAACGUCAACUCGACGCCUCAACCGGGCAUGCACAACAGGCAAUCCUCCCAGCUAAAACAGCCUCCUACGGAUCCUCGGGAAAAGCACAUCAAUUUUUUUUAAGCGAGAAGUACGGGGUUUUCAGAACUUGAAGGAGAGCAUAAGUCACAAUUACACCACUUCCUUUAACAACGAUGCAGCACACACACACACACACAUAGACCGGCCGCACACGGACGAAACCCGCUACCAACGCGGGCAAUGGCGUCGGACAUUAUUGUGCAAGAUACAGCGUCGCAAUGCCUUUUCGUAUCACGUCGUCGACGCUCGAUGAAAACGCGCAGCUACAGCUACCGCACUGCUCCCACUGCAGCGCCAAAACGACGUGGCCACCCCUACAACGGAAUGGGGCCCAGUGACGUGACAACGGCGGAAUCGGACACCAUUUGCAAACAUGUACUCAAACCAGAAGAAAGCCCAAUGUGUCCUCUGGUAUCACGAUACACAGUCACCAAGAAAGUCCAGAGACAAUUCCAGACAGCAUACCACAGACACCUACCAGACGUCAAAAGCGUCAAGAUGUGGUAUGCGAAGUUUAAGGCAACAGAAAGCAUCUGUGAUCUCCCUAGAACAGGCAGGCCUGGACCUAGUGCGCAGGCAAGUCAGACAGUGAGAGACGUCUUCGUGAGUAGUCCCAAGAAGUCAAUCCGCAGAGCUUCACGCGAGUUGCAGAUUCCGAAGACACCAGUGCACUGCAUCCUAUGUUGACCAACACAUGGGUGGAAUUGAAAUAUCGCCUGGAUAUCCUUCGAGCAACGAAAGGACCACACGUCAAAAUUUAUAUGUGCGUACAUAAUAACGUGAUUAUGUUACCCAGACUUCAAGAUAAAAGAUAUGCACCUAUGUGUCAUAGUUUCUGCCUUCUGCAUGUUUGUAAUCAGGGAAAGACUUCUGGGACACACUGUAUUUUUUUCAGCUGGUAUGCGCAUUGCUCUUCAGAUGCUCACUAUGUCUCUUUGCAGUUAUUAAAAAGCCAUUGUUAAAGUAUUUCUAUUUAUCUUUUUUACACGUUGUGAUUCCAGGGAGAUGUGUUGGUGUAUUAAGACACUAAACAAAGAUAGGACACAUCACAGUCUUGCAGGCUUUAGGAAAUUUAUUACACUCUACUGCAGAUCCAACGACAAAGGCAUUGCUGUCACAUUGGUCACAAGAAACAAUCUUUCCAUUCCAGCAGAAAUGCGUGAGCGUCAAAUUCUAGCCAUUCUGACAGAUGCGAUGCAAUACUAUUCAGGAACAAGUAAUACAUGGUAACACCUCAGGAAAUACUUGAAACUGAAAAAAUUCUCUAUCUUCUCAUAUCCUGCAUCAACACAACAUACCACCUUGCACACACACUUAAACUGGAUUGAAUACAGCAAUCUUAACGCAAACUAAGCUUACAGAUAAUGUAGCACUGAAGCACAACGCAAGAAACAUUGAGAUGGAACAUAUCAGUUAACUGCCUGCAAGUUAGAUACACAAAGCGCUGUACAAUAUUAGAGCAAAACAUCUUUUCAGGCAUUCAAUAGGCAACCAACACCCUCACAUAUUUACAACCUGAGUACACCCAGGAAAAUAAGUGCUCACUGGAAAAGGAAAAAGACAAGAAGCUUCAGCAUCCAAAAUUACCUGCUAAAAGAACCAAAGGCAUAUCAUCACUAGCAACCAUGACUUAAAAUUUACCCAUAACGAGCAGUGAAACCAUGAGGACCAUCAGUUGUCCCAUUUUCGCACAGUUUGUUUGCUAUACCAGACAGCACUAAACAGCAGUCAAAGCCACCUGAAGCACACAAGCUUAAAGGUAACAAUAAAUAAACUACAUACAGCUAGCACUUAUGCCUCACUUUUCCAAUGGAGAAUAAUAUAAAACAUGGGAGGUGCACAUUAAUGCACAGACCCUAAACAGGUUAGCAUUCUCGCAUUACUGCAGCUUAGGCUCCUUAAGCGAUCCUGACAGAAGAAACACAGCCAAAUCAUGGUCAACUUGCAGCAUCAUGAAAAACAGGUGGAAAACAUGCUGUAAAGGGACAAGUGGUCAUUAUAGGUUUGUAAAGAAGCCAUCAAGAAAUUGCAAUUACAAUUCACAGAAAAAAGAACAGCACAUUUAAUUAGAAGUGCCCAUCAUUCCCCACACACUACACUGCUUGCACACUGCAGACAAGCUUCCCACCAUGAGCACCAUCAGAACGGAUACAAGGGAAAGAAAACAUUCCAACAAAUUGAAUGAGGUAUCAUCAGACUUCUGAAACUUAAAUUU